rnacentral:tRNA from 1 species
GCAACUUUAGCUCAGUUGGGAGAGCGUUAGACUGAAGCAUCCACUUCAUUCUUCGUCAAGCCUCGUAAGAGAUUGAUAUCUAAAGGUCACCCGUUCGAUCCGGGUAAGUUGCA